UACAAGCUAUCGACAACCCAAGCACACCGGUUGCGUAACGACUGUUGACUUGCACGCUCGCGGCGUGCAACCCAGGGAGCACGCUCCGCAGCGGGUACACGACCACCGUUUGGGAAGGGGUUAGUGUUGUCGGCGGUCUCGGCGGCGCGGAGAGGAAGGAGGAGCGGCGGGGGACGGCGCCGCGCGUAGGGAGCCUAGUAGCACGGGUUGAGGGGAAGCACAAAGAGGAGGAGGGUCUUGGUGUAGAGCAGCGAAUCCGAGGAACCACCGCCGGCCGAGCUCCGCUCGGACCGCGUCCGCCCCUCUUCGUCGCCCCGCCGCCUACGCCCGCCCUCUCACGGCCUGCCGUGGCAGUAACAGCGGGGCGGUUCUGCGUAGCUUCUUCCUGGUCCUAGAGUGGGAGCAGGGAAGACCUACGUGGAGGGGUCACUCAAGGAGGACGGGUUAAGUCGAGGGAAAAGGUAGAUUAAAGUAAGAACAAAGUGUACAACCAAACCAACCGUUCUCUGCAACGCGGCGGCUGACGUCAUCGGUCCCAACCGCAACCACUACAGACAUCAUAAAAGCAGGAGCGGUCAGUGUGUUAAGGAUCCAAUACCCUGACCUAGAGGUAAAGGUUCUAAGAAUCGACUAUUCAUAUAACACGCCUUUUUAGAGAUGACUUACUGUUUAGGUUCGUUAGACCUAUGAGGUACCCUGUUUCAACUUCGAAACAUGUAGUGAAGAGAUGGACAAAUAAUUACAAAGAAGUACAAACCGUCACUAGACCCAAAGGUACAUGAACUAUCUACGUAAGGAAUAGAAAUACACAAGGUAGAUACAUAUAUACAAAGACGGGUAUUUACAUAAAUACUCGAACGAGGCAAAAAUGACGAAAGGAUACAGUUAAACUUUUCAUGGGAAAUAAGGGGAUUUUUCCCGAUAUGUACGUAAAUUUGCUCACGUGUAAAAGAUAUUUGUAUUCGUAACAGAAAUGGGGUGACGAGAGACCACACGUCGCUGCUUCUAAAGUACGAGUUGGAGGGAGUGCCGGGGUCCCUUCUGAUACUAUUGUGAUUCUAAUAGUUCUUUCCUAAGUCCCGAAAAAAACUUAGGUCUAAUAGUGUGUACUACGUUUUAAUUGUUGGUGCUGAAACUUUAUACCUACUACUACGAAUAAUACACGAUCUUUAGUUUAUACAUUUCCUCUUCUAUUACAAACGCUUCCUCUCCCCUCUCUCUAUGUCCAACUAAGACCCAUUUGAAACGAAUUAAAUAACCUCUUUUACGAGCUAUCUAGAGUACCUACCUACUCCAACACCGUCAUCAAGAGCCCACGUUAUAGAUGGAACUAUCUCACUAGUUGGUCCCGUGUAAUCUUCGUCUUCUUCUCCUUUGCAAACCCGGCAGAUACCGCAACUUCUAAGUCACAAAGACAGAACACAUGUACGUGCCGGUCAAGUCAUUGAUCUACCGGAAAAGAUGACAUGACCACGACGAUGAAAAGUGUACGAUCGAAGAAACCUUUCGCGGUUGUCACACAUGUUGUACAUUUCUCAGGUAGAACUUCCUUGUCUUCGUCUUCAUACCUCGACUACAUAAUUACCAGUUAGUUCCUUAAGUCAGAGCUCCUAGAAUUGAUUACUACACACUCAACUCGGAAUCGAGUAAAAGUUUCAUUGCCUUCAUGUUCUCUAAUGAACUUUUAUGUGUAAAAAAGUUACGCUGUACCAGAAUUCACGCUAAAAUAUG
rnacentral:rRNA from 1 species